UGCCUACGGGGCGCAGCAGUGAGGAAUAUUGGUCAAUGGGCGGGAGCCUGAACCAGCCAAGUCGCGUGAGGGAAGACGGUCCUAUGGAUUGUAAACCUCUUUUGUCGGGGAGCAAAGAGGCCACGUGUGGUCAAAAGCGAGAGUACCCGAAGAAAAAGCAUCGGCUAACUCCGUGCCAGCAGCCGCGGUAAUACGGAGGAUGCGAGCGUUAUCCGGAUUUAUUGGGUUUAAAGGGUGCGUAGGCGGAGGUGCAAGUCAGCGGUCAAAUUGCGGGGCUCAACCCCGUACUGCCGUUGAAACUGCAU
rnacentral:rRNA from 1 species